rnacentral:rRNA from 1 species
GMAAGUCGAACGGAACCUUCGGGUUUAGUGGCGAACGGGUGAGUAAUGCCUAGGAAUCUGCCUAUUAGUGGGGGAUAACGAAUCGAAAGGUUCGCUAAUACCGCAUACGUCCUACGGGAGAAAGAGGGGGAUCUUCGGACCUCUUGCUAAUAGAUGAGCCUAGGUCGGAUUAGCUMGUUGGUGAGGUAAAGGCUCACCAAGGCGACGAUCUGUAGCUGGUCUGAGAGGAUGGCCAGCCACACUGGAACUGAGACACGGUCCAGACUCCUACGGGAGGCAGCAGUGGGGAAUAUUGGACAAUGGGCGCAAGCCUGAUCCAGCCAUGCCGCGUGUGUGAAGAAGGCCCUCGGGUUGUAAAGCACUUUAAGCGAGGAGGAAGGCCAUCAUACUAAUAUUAUGAUGAAUUGACGUUACUCGYWGAAUAAGCACCGGCUAACUCUGUGCCAGCAGCCGCGGUAAUACAGAGGGUGCAAGCGUUAAUCGGAAUUACUGGGCGUAAAGCGCGCGUAGGCGGUUUGUUAAGUCGGAUGUGAAAUCCCUGGGCUCAACCUAGGCACUGCAUCCGAUACUGGCUGACUAGAGUGUGGGAGAGGAAGGUAGAAUUCCAGGUGUAGCGGUGAAAUGCGUAGAGAUCUGGAGGAAUACCGAUGGCGAAGCAGCCUUCUGGCUAACACUGACGCUGAGGUGCGAAAGCAUGGGGAGCAACAGGAUUAGAUACCUGGUAGUCCAUGCUGUAACGAUGUCAACUAGCCGUGGGUCUUUAAGACUUAGUGGCGUAGCUAACGCGAUAAGUUGACCGCCUGGGGAGUACGGUCGCAGACUAAACUCAAAUGAAUUGACGGGGGCCGCACAACGUGGAGCAUGUGGUUUAAUUCGAUGCAACGCGAAGACCUUACCUGGCCUGACAUGUCUGGAAUCUUGUAGAGAUACGAGAGUGCCUUCGGGAAUCAGAACACAGGUGCUGCAUGGCUGUCGUCAGCUCGCGUCGUGAGAUGUUGGGUUAAGUCCCGCAACGAGCGCAACCCUUAUCCUUAUUUGCCAGCACGUAAUGGUGGGAACUCUAAGGAGACUGCCGGUGACAAACCGGAGGAAGGCGGGGACGACGUCAAGUCAUCAUGGCCCUUACGGCCAGGGCUACACACGUGCUACAAUGGUCGGUACAAAGGGUUGCUAACCUGCGAAGGGGUGCUAAUCUCAAAAAGCCGUUYGUAGUCCAGAUUGGAGUCUGCAACUCGACUCCAUGAAGUCGGAAUCGCUAGUAAUCGCAG